AGCUGUAAGAUCAUAACGUAAUUUAAGAUUGGGGUUGUGUUAAUGCUGACAUAUUGGCAUAGACUUACAAACUCAUCGAAGGGUGUUGGUUGGAAGGGACCUUUAAAUGUCACCUUAACUCCCUAGUUGUGGACAGGCGCAUCUUUCAUUAGGUAAGGUUUUUCAGACGCCCAUCAGGUCUUUAACGCUUCUGAUAAUGGAGCAUCCACAUCUUCCACUAACAGGGAAAUCUAUUCCAGUGUCUCAGAACCCUCAUUAUAAACAGUUUCUUCCUAAUGUCCAAUCCAAGUCUUCUGUCUUUCAGUUGUAAACCGUUGACUCUUGCUGUGUCACUACAGGCUUUGGUAAAAAGGCUCCCCCCAUCUUUCUUACAAUGCCCUUUAUUUAUUGAAAGGCCGCAACGAGCUUUCCGCAGAGUCCUCUCUUCUUCACACUGAACAAUCUCAUUUGGAGGUGUGUUACCUACUACUAUUCAUCUCCUUAAUUAUACCAUCUGGGGCAUCCUGGAAAUACCUCCGUGCUCUGAAGGCUGAUACUCAGUUAAUUAUUAAAAUGAGAGAAAUGCAAAUGGAAUUUAAAUGUUUAAUCUUCCUAGAAUUCUCUCAAAGCUAUAUAAUGCUUCCUCUUCCAGGGGUUUCCAGAGCGUGGCACUAAAUAAAGAAUUGUUUGGCAUACUUGAUUUCAAUAUUUUCUUUAGUUUCAAAUGGAAAGAAGGAAAUGUUAGUAACUAUGUGAAUACAAAAGCACUCUUAAUAGAAUGGGGUAGGUUCAUAGUUUGGUAGUAACUAAAUAUUUAAGAGCAUAAAACAUGAGGUAUAAGAACCGUGAAAGAAAUUACUUAAAGGGAGAAAUUGUGCUGCUAAAAGUAAGUAAAACAAAGCUUUUCUUCAGUAUGGAAGUGAGUAGGUUCUUCCAGAGACUAUUGUCAUGUAAAGUUUGGGAAGUUGUGAGACUAAAUGAUAAACAUACUUUUACAUGCAGUUAUUUUAAUUCUUGCUUCAUUAAUUUACAUUAAUCAUAGAAACAGAAAUAUUCAUCAGAACCGGAGAUAAGAAUCAUGAUCCUGCCAACAUUUUUUCCUAUCUCAACGAAGAUCUAAUAUUAGCAAAUGUAUAGCAGUGAUUUUUUCUGUUUAAAAAAAAUCAGAACUACUCUGUUCUCAUUUUUUAGAAACAGAAUAGGGAUCUCUUACAGUUAGUGUGUUAUGAAUAGCUUCAGUUUCUAUUUAGAAUAGAUUUAUACAGUCUUCAAAGUUCAUCUUCUUUAGUAAUCUUCAGCAUCACCAGCACAUAUGGCAAGUAAAGCACUCUCAUAAUGCCCUGAAGCAAAAUGCUGCAAGAAAAAAAAAGGAACAUUUCUGUAACUGUAUGUUUUCUUAAUUUUCUUGGUGUGUGACAAGGACUAGACUGAUGAUGUGAGGUUUUGUAAAAUACUGCACUGUUUCCCCAAGAAUUCCAGGCUAAGAUUGUUUUUAAUUUCACAUACCUUGGGCUUUGUCUGCUUGGCCACCUAGAGGCAUUCUGCCUCUGAAAGCACAUGUUUACCAUUGCAUCCUGAGCAGCUGUAGAAGGAUCUGCAUAACCUUCCAUCCUUGUUCCCUGGGGGGAAAAAAGAUACACAUAUGGGCUUUUAGAUUGGAUCAGUAUAUUCAGUGGUUGAAUUUGUAACUGUAGAAAAUACCUUCAAGUUGUGGUGUUGUAUCUUCGCUUCCUUCAAGAAGAAGAACUCUGGAAUGACCCAUGGUCUUAUGAGUAGAAGAAAUGGAGGAAGUGGUAACCCAAAGCAGGUUCUACAUGGAGCUAGGUCUGUCUGGGCCCUGCCAGGUGCUUCUGCCUGCUGGGGGGCCUUAGCCUGUGCUCUGCCUCACCUCUCCACCCACCCAUGGGUGCUGUGUGGUGGCAGGAUACUCAAAUGUCUCAUCAAGGCAGGUGAGUGGAGCAUCCAGCCUGAGUAAGGACUUUUUGAAGGAAAACAGGUACUGUACUUUUUUUGAAUAAAGUAUGCAGAAGUCUCUGAAAAGCCCCAAAUGUGUCUUCAGAGUAUUUCAAAUGUCAUAGGCAGCAAUACACCUCAAAAUCCCAUGGUGUAUUUUCAAAUUAAAACAUUCUGCUCCAGCCUUUUGAAUAUAGUUACGGGAGGAAGGGAACAAGUUAGUACUGAGAAAUCAUUUUUGUAGUUCAGUUCCUUCAUAUGUGCUAAUACUUUGGGAGAACACAUAGUAUAACUACUACUUUGCACUUGUAAGACACUUUACGCAUUAAGUAGGCUUCUUUCAUCUGGAAGAUCUCCAUAUUUGUUCUUGAGGCUAGUAUAUCAAUUAGGCAUUUUUCUUCUGUGUCUACUCCCUGUGUGGAAAGAAUUAAGUAUGAAAAGUUGUUAGCAGAAACCACAGCCUUUAGAAGACAGCAGUACUGUGCUUAUCAGAAGUAACAAAACAAUUAAAAGCAGUUUCUGUUGGAGCAAAGCAGAGUGUACUUUUUGCAUAGUCUACCUGUUUAAAUAGAAAAUGAUUUCAGAUGAAUAAUAGAGCCCUGUAUUUCAAAUAUAUUCCUACUUGAUCUGAAUUUCAGCAUGUAGAUUAACAAGGGGAAUGAAGUAAGACUGGUGUUGGCAGAAACAUAAUAGGUAGAAUUUUAGAGCUUUAGUAAGAAUUUGAAAGAAAUCAGAUUCAAAGAUUGAGCAUAUAUCCCCAGCAAGCAAGUGUUCAGGCAAUCUGAAGUAGA